rnacentral:rRNA from 1 species
UUGAACGCUGGCGGCAUGCCUUACACAUGCAAGUCGAACGGCAGCACGGGAGCAAUCCUGGUGGCGAGUGGCGAACGGGUGAGUAAUAUAUCGGAACGUGCCCAGUCGUGGGGGAUAACGUAGCGAAAGCUACGCUAAUACCGCAUACGAUCCAUGGAUGAAAGCGGGGGAUCGCAAGACCUCGCGCGAUUGGAGCGGCCGAUAUCAGAUUAGGUUGUUGGUGGGGUAAAAGCUUACCAAGCCUGCGAUCUGUAGCUGGUCUGAGAGGACGACCAGCCACACUGGAACUGAGACACGGUCCAGACUCCUACGGGAGGCAGCAGUGGGGAAUUUUGGACAAUGGGGGCAACCCUGAUCCAGCCAUUCCGCGUGAGUGAAGAAGGCCUUCGGGUUGUAAAGCUCUUUCAGCCGGAACGAAACGGUACGCUCUAACAUAGCGUGCUAAUGACGGUACCGGCAGAAGAAGCACCGGCUAACUACG